rnacentral:rRNA from 1 species
GACGAACGCUGGCGGCGCGCCUAACACAUGCAAGUCGAACGAGAGAGAGGAAGCUUGCUUCCUUAAUCGAGUGGCGAACGGGUGAGUAACGCGUGAGGAACCUGCCUCAAAGAGGGGGACAACAGUUGGAAGGGACUGCUAAUACCGAAUGUUGUAGAGUUUCCGCAUGGGAAUCCUACUAAAGGUGGCCUCUACUUGUAAGCUAUCGCUUUACGAUGGGUCUGCGUCUGAUUAGCUAGUUGGUGGGGUAACGGCCUACCAAGGCGACGAUCAGUAGCCGGUCUGAGAGGAUGAACGGCCACAUUGGAACUGAGACACGGUCCAG